GGGUCAAGUGACUGGUCUUGCAGGCAGCUCAGAUGCUGUGGGAGCAGAGGGCCAGGGACAACUUAAAGGGGAACAAGCAUGAAUCCCCACAUCCACCACAGCUCGCCUGGCUCUGAGGGACGUGGAGAGCCCGGGUUCAUCUUGGACCAGUUUGCUGAGCUACCAGUGACUUGGAUAGCAUUUCCAGAAGACAAUACAAAAGCAGUGGUAAUGCCAGUCACCUUUUGUCUUUUCUCUGAUGCCAACCAAAUGCUCAUGAGUGUUUUCCUUUUGAGCAUGAUGCCAGCAGUCAUUUGAUAUUCACGUGGAAGAUUUUUGGUUAUCUUAUGAAACUAUCCUUCUAUUAUUUUUUUGGUUGCAUGGAAAAUUUAUCUCAUGGUGAUUUCUGAGAUUUUGGUGCCCCCAUUACCCAAGGUAACCUUCUAUUCUUACAUAAAAGAUUGCUAUUAGUAGAGGUUACUCUUAAAAUUUGUUUUUGUGCAUUUUUGAGACAUUUUUCUUUUUAUG